rnacentral:rRNA from 1 species
AUGUACAGGACGGAACAGGAGAAACUAUCGCAAGUAAAGGUUGUAGUAAAGGUGAAACCCAAGCAGGACGAACUAGGUAUAAACUGGAGUCAGAUCAAGAACAAGAUUUUUCGUAGAGAAGGAAGGGAAAUAUGUUCGGAACAUGUGAACCACCAGACGCAUCCCAUCACUGAAGUCAGAAGACAUCAUAGGCUUGAUUCUGACGAGGCGAACCAUCUUGAUGCAUAUUCGGAAUCUAGAUCGGUGAUUGGAGAUGGGGAGUGUUUCUACAGGAGCUUCAUAUUUUCGUACCUUGAGCAAGUUAUUGAUAGGCAGGACACAAAUGAGGAAAACCGUCUCCUUCAUGUUGUUGAAAGAAUGUCUAUGCGACAUGGAAAUCUUCAAUGGAACUCUGAGUUUUGCAGGAGCAGCAAAGCAUUUAGGAAUCUGAUCAAGAAAAUAAUGAGAUGGAAGAGACAUGGCAGAGAAUCAACUAGCAGCCGCUGUAAAGAGAAACUUCUCGAGUUCUUCAGCGAGUAUGAUACGACACUAGACAUUUUCAUUUUCCUCAGAUUAGUAGUAGCUAUCCAGAUGUGCUCGCACAGGGAGGUGUAUGAACCGCUUAUACCAGGGCUCAGAGGAAAUUACAAUCUGGAAGAUUGGUGCUUUUGGCGCGUCGCUCCAGCUCGUCGGUCUACGGAUCAUGUUAUGAUGGUGGCCUUGGCCAGAGCGCUUGAGGUCCCCCUCAGAGUGGAGCGAGUCCGAGGAGGAUAUGAUCCAGAUAUCUACACUGGUCCUGGAGUUCCCCGUCCGAGAGUGACCCUGCUGUACUCGGCAAAUCACUACGAAAUCAUCUACUCGCGUGCUCCUUCUGCUGAGAGUUCAAGUCAUCAGGCUUCCCAGAGAGAACAUGCUGCUGAUCAGGGUUCAAGUCAACAGACUACCCAGAGAAAACAUCCUGCUGAUCAGAGUUCAAGUCACCAGGCUUCCCAGAGAGGAGAUCAUGCUGAUCAGAGUUGA